rnacentral:tRNA from 1 species
GUCGUCGUGGCCAAGCCCGGUAAAGGCGCCUCGCCGAUAACGAGGAGACCGCUGGUUCAAAUCCAGCCGACGACA